rnacentral:piRNA from 1 species
UGUUUAUAAUUACUUUGACCUGGGGCUC